rnacentral:rRNA from 1 species
AGGAAUAUUGGUCAAUGGGCGCAGGCCUGAACCAGCCAAGUAGCGUGAAGGAUGACUGCCCUAUGGGUUGUAAACUUCUUUUAUAAAGGAAUAAAGUCGGGUAUGUAUACCCGUUUGCAUGUACUUUAUGAAUAAGGAUCGGCUAACUCCGUGCCAGCAGCCGCGGUAAUACGGAGGAUCCGAGCGUUAUCCGGAUUUAUUGGGUUUAAAGGGAGCGUAGAUGGAUGUUUAAGUCAGUUGUGAAAGUUUGCGGCUCAACCGUAAAAUUGCAGUUGAUACUGGAUAUCUUGAGUGCAGUUGAGGCAGGCGGAAUUCGUGGUGUAGCGGUGAAAUGCUUAGAUAUCACGAAGAACUCCGAUUGCGAAGGCAGCCUGCUAAGCUGCAACUGACAUUGAGGCUCGAAAGUGUGGGUAUCAAACAGGAUUAGAUACCCUGGUAGUCCACACGGUAAACAAUGAAUACUCGCUGUUUGCGAUAUACUGCAAGCGGCCAAGCGAAAGCGUUAAGUAUUCCACCUGGGGAGUACGCCGGCAACGGUGAAACUCAAAGGAAUUGACGGGGGCCCGCACAAGCGGAGGAACAUGUGGUUUAAUUCGAUGAUACGCGAGGAACCUUACCCGGGCUUAAAUUGCAGAUGAAUUACGGUGAAAGCCGUAAGCCGCAAGGCAUCUGUGAAGGUGCUGCAUGGUUGUCGUCAGCUCGUGCCGUGAGGUGUCGGCUUAAGUGCCAUAACGAGCGCAACCCUUGUUGUCAGUUACUAACAGGUUCCGCUGAGGACUCUGACAAGACUGCCAUCGUAAGAUGUGAGGAAGGUGGGGAUGACGUCAAAUCAGCACGGCCCUUACGUCCGGGGCUACACACGUGUUACAAUGGGGGGUACAGAGGGCCGCUACCACGCGAGUGGAUGCCAAUCCCCAAAACCUCUCUCAGUUCGGACUGGAGUCUGCAACCCGACUCCACGAAGCUGGAUUCGCUAGUAAUCGCGCAUCAGCCACGGCGCGGUGAAUACGUUUCCG